rnacentral:lncRNA from 1 species
AUGAAGCCGAAUUACUUAACUUUCUAUUUUGUUUCUAAUUCUAUAAGGAACCUGACAGCUUUUUGUUGUUGUUGCUGUUAUUGUUGCUGCUUAGUUGAAAAUUCAUUAUUUACUUUGUUUUGUAGAUUAAAACUUCUUGGAGUCAAAACCAAAAGGCUUUCAGUAGUUUCAUUAAACGUGGAUUGUCUCCUGAGCAGAAAUCACGUACUGAGCAAAAAUCCAUUAUGAAAAUGCCAUACUUUGGUUUCAUUCCAGAAUGACUUACUCCUGGGGUAUUCAAAAAAGCAUCAGUGGUUCUUUCAUCCUAUAUAAGAGGUAAUGGACUCUGUGUGCAUAUUUCCGGCUUAUAUUUGCUAGUAAUUCUUCUGUUCAAGUUUAAUCAUCAGCUAUCUUUUUUUUUAUGUUCUAUAUAGCUACAAAUAGCUACAUUCAUUUAAGUCAUCUUGGUGAAGUGCUUGCAGUUUGAAUUAAAAUGAGCUAAGUGUACGCAAAUAUGACACUAAAGGUUAUUCAUUUUAUGAAAAGUCACACUACAGUAGUAAGUGGUUGUACAUGGAAAUUAUCUUAACAGCGUAAAGAUUUCAACCAUAAAUGAACUGAUGUAAUUCACAGUGAAUUUCACCUUCUCUGCUGAUGUCAACUACCUGUUCUAGAAGAGAUAAUGGAACUGUCAAACAUAUUUAAACUGUUCAGACACCACACUACAAAGCUGCUGUAAAAUGCCUAUGGUAUCUUAUGCCAUUUUCUGAAACGUUAUUUAGUGUCUCAUAGCUUUGAUAUCUCAAAGAAUGGUAUAUUCACCUAGUUAUUUUAGGAGUUCAUGGUCAAGAUGUAACAGGUACGAAGCUUGCCUAAAGUUCUUAGUAAAUCAUAAUUUCAAGUAGCAAUUGAGUCAAUCUCUGUUCCUCAACUCUUGUCUUAAGGAAGAAGAAAGUUCUUCAUCUUUUAUAUGGAUGUGUGUAUAUAUAUUUAUCUAUACACACACACAUAGAUAUGUAUAUAAGACAAACCUGACAAAUUUUUGAUUCUGUAGUGAACGGGAAGGUACAUGUACUGCAAGACCAACUAUUUACAUUACUUUUUAUUUUUCUCUAAGCACUUUUAGUUUACACUUCAGAAUACAAAACAGAGCUGAGAAGAGAUAUUAAAGCAGUUGAUAUUUUAUUUCUGUUCCUACUCAACACCUAGUGGUAAAAGCAACCCUUUAGACUCCUAAGCUGCCUAUUCUUUUUUUUUUUUUUUUUUUUAAUGCUUAUUUUUUAAUUUGGAGAUAUAACAGCCUGAUAAAAUAAAAGACUGGGAAGUGUUAAGCA